GACGGAGGAUGCAAGCGUUAUCCGGAAUGAUUGGGCGUAAAGCGUCUGUAGGUGGUUUAUUAAGUCUCCUGUUAAAUAUCAAGGCUUAACCUUGAACAGGCAGUAGAAACUAAUGAGCUUGAGUGCGAGAGAGGGGCGUGGAAUUCCGGGUGUAGUGGUGAAAUGCGUAGAGAUCCGGAGGAACCCCAGAGGCGAAGGCGGCGCCCUGGCUCGCAACUGACGCUCAUACACGACAGCAUGGGGAGCGAACGGG
rnacentral:rRNA from 1 species